UGGACGGAGAACUGAUAAGGG
rnacentral:ncRNA from 16 species